UGAUCCACCUGCUUCAGCCUCUCAAAGUGCUAGGAUUACAGCAUGACUGAGAACUGCCAGCCAGCUUCCCAUCCUUUCCAGAGGCUACAAGUCAACCCAGGCCAGCGCAGCCUUAAGAGUGCGGGGUGGAAGGACAAGAGGGGUGCUCUCACAAAAGGUGAUUCCGUGGUCCACUCCUGAGCUGCUGAUCUCAGAGAAGGCACCAAUAACUUCCUUUACUUGCAGCAAGAAUACUGCUCAGAACCACAACGAUGCUAUAAAUCUACCACAGCUAAAAUCUAUGCUAUUUCUAACAGAAAGCACAGCAGGUUGGUGGGGAAGAGGUUGAAUGUUUCACUUCUUCAGCCUGCCUAGGAGGGCAAGUGGAACAAAUCUUGGGUUUGGAACAUCUAUUAAAAGAUAUUCUUACUUUGUAGCAUUCAUAUUCUUACCUUCCUUUAGGUUUCUUGAAGAAGUUAUGUCAUUUUCUUUAUGUAGAAGUCAAAUAUUUGUACAUUUAAAAUACAUUUGGUCACAAUUAAUAUUGAAAUCAGCAUCUCCAAGUGUUUAAAAGAGUUUAACAGCUGUACGGUCAUCUGAACCCAGAGAUUUUUAAAAAAAAUUAUUUGACACCUUAUCCAAUUUAAUUUUUGGUUACUUACCUUGUCACAUGUUUUAGUUUUUCUUGUGAUAACUUUUAAAACUUAAAUUUUAAGUACAUUAAUAUGAAAGGGUAGUCGGACAGCUUUUUGAUCUUUUCUGUAUAUGUUCUUACAUCUUUUUCUCUCAAUUGUGUUUAUGUUUUCUCCUACUUCGUGUAGAGGAACUUCAUUAUUGAACAUCCAAUACUUUAUUUAAUGUCUCAUUUAGAGUCUACAUUUAUAUUUUCCAUAAAUAGGAAUGUUUGUGUUUUGCAGCUUUGGCAUUUGUAAAGAUUUCUGUAUUUAGUUUCUUUUCUCCCUCCAGAUUGUGACUUUGUAGAAGUGGGAGCCACUCUGGCUUGCUCACUGUGAUACUAGAAUGCACAGGACAGUGCCCGGCAUCUAACUCCCCAGAACAGGGCCAGGACUCAGCCCAUAGGCCUGUUUACACACAUGGUUUGAGCUUGCAGAUUUAAAAUAAGCAAGGAGGCCAUAAUCAGUGGACUUAAACUGAUUAAAACAAGAAAAAUUUAAAAACAGACAAUACAGAAGCAAGAAUGAAAUGAAAUUUAUCUACAAUUAAUAUGACUAAUAUAUUAGUGAACAAAAGACUGUAAGUUUUUAAAGAAAUAAUGUACUAAUCAUGAAAAUAGUGAAUUAGAAAAUAGUAGAAAAAAGUAGAAUUAAUUUAUAAUGCUAACAUAUUAUUCUGAGAAGCAACAACAACAACAAAACCCUUUAAGAGUGAUGGAUGUAAUGAUAUAAUGGUGCUGACUAGUCUUUGCUGAUUAUGUUCUUUUCCUGUCCUGCCUACACCUACACCCUUUGGAAUUGGUUGUGAGUUGCUCGGGGCUGUGUAGGAGGGGCUAGAAUUGGAAAAAGUUUGUGCAGUGAUCUGCUGUAGAAAGGUAUUUCUUAUGACUUUGUUAAGUUUAGGUAAAAAAAUUGAGGCAGACUUGAAAUACUGUCAUGCCAAAGAAUCUCGUGGCUGUACAAGGACAAUGUUUCCUAAAGUACUAUAGGUUAGAGCAAGGGUUUGCCUUUUACAAAUGCUAUUUUAGGACUCCGAAGCCAUGACUCCUGUAAAGGAUCACCCUUCUCUAGUCUUCAUCACAGCCAUUCUAAGGCUCAUUAAAUUAAAAUACAAUAACUACAUCUGUUGCUUAUGAUCAGGCCCCCUUGCUCAUUCAAUAUCUGCAUCUCAUUAGCUAAAACCUAAGGUAGGCUUCCUUACACUCAAUUAUUUAACAAAUACACGUUAUAUACAUUAUCAGCUGUGGAUAUUUACAUUUUGUGUUGUUUCUCCUAAAUAUGUAUCUAUUUGCUUGAGUGGUUUUUCUUUCUUCAUUAGAUCAGAGCAAGCCAAGGGCUGUGACCUUAGAGGUUACUUAUUUUCUAAUAUCCUUACAGAACUUUUAAGCAGUACAUGUAAAUGUAAUUGAAAAACUAAAAUAAUACAAUAAUUUAUAAAACAUAAAACUACAUAAAACUAAAAUCAAAAUCCUGUUUAUCACCAGCUCAAAUAUGGCUUAUAAAAAUGAGGUUACAGUGUUAUGUUGUUUUCACCUGACAAUGUUUUUUGGACCUCCUUUUUAUUUCAUCAUUAUUAUUUGAAUAGGCACUGGAAAAACAUGAUAAAAAUUUAGAAGGUAUAGAAUUACAUCACUUUAAAAGUAAGCCACCUGGUUCUUUUAUUCCGAGACAAUCAUUGUGAUUUGUUUCUUGGGUAAUGAAUAUGCAUAUAUAAGUUUAUGUAUUCCUUUUGUUCCUUACACAUUUUAGCAUACUAUACACAUAGCGUAUUACUGUUUUCACUUAUUGAUAUCUUUUGGAAUUGAAAAUGUGAGGGAGUUUUACUCUUCUAGACAAAUGUGGUAGACUUCAAAAAGAAGCUCACCUUGGAGAACUUAAAACUGAGUGAUUGCUUAAAGCUUUCAUAUUAGACUGGUCUGGAAGUUUGUAGCACCUGGAGAAUAAAUCUGUAUAUGAAUACUUGAGAGUGACUAGAAAAUCUCUGAGAGUUGUCUGAGAUUUUUAUCUAAGUUCUAGCUGACAGGAUGUAUUUGAAGGGUCGUUGGUGCAAAAGAACAACCUGAUUUCUACUCGUACCAUACAAUAGCCAGCUAAAGAGAUAGUUUCAUUUGUCAAUAAAUUCUUUGUUAUGGA